GGUGAGAUGAGACAGACAGCAGGCCUUCAGGACUCAGGUGAGAUGAGACAGACAACAGGCCUUCAGGACUCAGGUGAGAUGAGACAGACAACAGGCCUUCAGGACUCAGGUGAGAUGAGACAGACAACAGUCCUUCAGGACUCGGGUCAGAUGAGACAGACAACAGGCCUUCAGGACUCGGGUCAGAUGAGACAGACAACAGGCCUUCAGGACUCAGGUGAGAUGAGACAGACAGCAGGCCUUCAGGACUCAGGUGAGAUGAGACAGACAACAGGCCUUCAGGACUCGGGUCAGAUGAGACAGACAACAGGCCUUCAGGACUCAGGUGAGAUGAGACAGACAACAGGCCUUCAGGACUCGGGUCAGAUGAGACAGACAGCUGGCCUUCAGAUCACCAGGGAGCAUCAGAGAUUCAGCAAUCACACCUGACAUUGUUGUAUUUACUGUGCCGUUACUGUAUUGGGUAACUACUAUGUGUCUUAUCUAGAUCUACUUACUAUGUAACUACU